AUUCACAUAGUUUAACUUAAAACACUUCAUUUUCAAUGAAGAAAUGAAUUUAUAAUUCUAUGAAUA
rnacentral:tRNA from 1 species